CCUCGAUGUCGAAGGAAUAACUGUAUUCCCCUCUGCGCACUGUGUAAUUUAUGCCGACUGGGUGAGGCAGGGCAGGAGCGGAUUCAUGCAGCAUUCCAAUAUGGGUGACCCUGGGAUUUUGAAGACCAGAGUGCAGAACCUAGCAGGUUCCAUCAAACUGAAAAGGCUUUGAGUUCAAGGCCAACAGGAAGCUGUUUGGUGCCUGUCCAAGUCCUGGAUCUUUGUUGAUUAAGAAAACCGACCAGGCCCCGCAGAGAAUGGGGAAAUGAGAUGCCACCGAAAAUCCUAUUCCCUCAGAUUCUCCUAUUCCUCAAAAAGAAGAAACUAAGUGGGUGAGAGGGAGUUUCCAGCCUUCUUUUCUGGGCCUCAUCAUUAUUUUUUGAUAAUCAGAUUGGAUAAGGAGCAAAUGUGUAUCCCCUUUACUUCCCUACUCAACAGGGUUGCAAAGGUGAAAGUAUUCAUUCACAGGCUCUAUAUUUUGGUCAAGGAAAAAUAUCCAGGAUUGACUUCAAUUCAUUCAGUCAACAAAUAUUUAUUGAGUGCCUAUUAUGUGCAAAGUGCUGUGGGAAAUACAAAGAUGGGCUAGGACAGGAUCCCUGCUCUCAAGGAGCUUACAAUCUAAUGGGGGUGUGGGCAGGGGAAUACAGACUGCAGGGAGUUAUUCUCUUUGUGGGCCCAGCCCUCAUUAGCCUAUACACAG